rnacentral:rRNA from 1 species
AAAAACAUGUCCUUUUGAUUAAAAUUUAAGGUCUAGCCUGCUCAAUGAAUUUUAAAUAGCCGCAGUAUCCUAACUGUGCAAAGGUAGCAUAAUCAUUAGUUUUUUAAUUGAAAGCUGGAAUGAAAGGUUGAAUGAGAAAAUAUCUGUCUCUAUAAAAAUUAUAUAGAAUUUUAUUUUUAAGUAAAAAAGCUUAAAUUUAAAUAAAAGACGAGAAGACCCUAUAGAGUUUUAUAUUUAUAAAUUAUAUUUAUUUUUGGGAUUUUAGAAUUUAUUUUUUUAUAAUAUUUGGUUGGGGUGAUUGGAAAAUUAAAUAAACUUUUCUUUAUAGUUUACAUUUAUAUGUGAAAUUAUGAUCCUUAAAUUAAGAUUAUAAGAUUAAAUUACCUUAGGGAUAACAGCGUAAUUUUUUUUGAGAGUUCUUAUCGAAAAAAAAGAUUGCGACCUCGAUGUUGGAUUAAAAUUAAUUUUUGGUGUAGAAGCUAAAUAAAUUAGGUCUGUUCGACCUUUAAAAUUUUACUUGAUCUGAGUU